rnacentral:rRNA from 1 species
UGUUUGUGGCAAGACUAAGGGCUUCCGGCCCGGAGUCGCAGCGAAAGCAAGUCCGAAUAGGGCGAAUUAAGUCGCAGGUACUGGACCCGAAGCGGAGGUGACCUACCCUUGGCCAGGUUGAAGCAUGGGUAAAACCAUGUGGAGGACCGAACAGGUGAACGUUGAAAAGUUCUCUGAUGAGCUGAGGGUAGGAGUGAAAGGCUAAUCAAACCCCGUGAUAGCUGGUUCUCUUCGAAAUGCAUUUAGGUGCAGCGUCACGUGCUGAUGCGCGGGGGUAGAGCACUGACAAGGCUAGGGGGCACACCCGCUUACCAAACCUUAUCAAACUCCGAAUACCGUGCAAUGGAACGUGGCAGUGAGACAGUGGGGGAUAAGCUUCAUUGUCGAGAGGGAAACAACCCAGACCAGCAGCUAAGGUGCCUAAAUAACGCUCAGUGGAAAGGAUGUGGGAUUACACAGACAGUGAGGAUGUUGGCUUAGAAGCAGCCACCAUUUAAAAAAUGCGUAAUAGCUUACUCAUCGAGUGAUCCUGCGCCGAAAAUGAUUGGCGAUCAAGCGUUAUACCGAAGCUCUGGACUUUACCUUAUGGUAGAGUGGUAGAAGAGCGUUGCAUGCGCGUUGAAGGGUGAUGGCGACUGACCCUGGAGCACAUGCAAGUGAGUAUGCAGACAUGAGUAACGUAAAGCCGGGUGAAAUCCCCGGCCGCCGUAAACCCGAGGUUUCCAGGGCAACGUGUUUCGUCCCUGGGUUAGCCGGGACCUAAGCCGAGGCCGAGAGGCGUAGGCGAUGGAUAUCAGGUUAAUAAUCCUGAGCUCGCGACCCUUAAACUGGGGGGACGCAUGAGAAAAGAUGACUAGGUUAUUGAAUUCCGAGUUGAGUCCACGGACUCAGCGCAUCAUUGGAUCGAGUGCCAAGAAAAGCCCCAGCGUAUGCUAAGCGACCCGUACCGCAAACCGACACAGGUGGGUGGGUAGAAUAUACCAAGGCGUAAGAGUGAAACCUGGUUAAGGAACUCGGCAAAUUAGCCCCGUAACUUCGGAAGAAGGGGUGCCUGCAGCGAUGCAGGCCGCAGAGAAAUGGCCCAACCGACUGUUUAUCAAAAACACAGCACUCUGCAAAGACGCAAGUCGAAGUAUAGGGUGUGACACGUGACCAAUGCCGAAAGAUUAAGGCAAGGGGUUAGCCGCAAGGCGAAGCUCUGAACCCAAGUCCCGGUGAAUGUCGGCCGUAACUAUAACGGUCCUAAGGUAGCGAAAUUCCUUGUCGGGUAAGUUCCGACCUGCACGAAUCGUG